UACGUAGGGACCAAGCGUUGUUCGGAUUUACUGGGCGUAAAGCGCACGUAGGCGGCGAUUUAAGUCAGAGGUGAAAGCCCGGGGCUCAACCCCGGAAUAGCCUUUGAGACUGGAUUGCUAGAAUCUUGGAGAGGCGAGUGGAAUUCCGAGUGUAGAGGUGAAAUUCGUAGAUAUUCGGAAGAACACCAGUGGCGAAGGCGGCUCGCUGGACAAGUAUUGACGCUGAGGUGCGAAAGCGUGGGGAGCAAACAGG
rnacentral:rRNA from 1 species